rnacentral:rRNA from 1 species
CCUACGGGAGACAGCAGUAGGGAAUAUUGCUCAAUGGGGGGAAGACUGAAGCAGCAACGCCGCGUGGAGGAUGAAGGUUUUAGGAUUGUAAACUCCUUUUGUUAGAGAAACUUAUGACGGUAUCUAACGAAUAAGCACCGGCUAACUCCGUGCCAGCCGCCGCGGUAAUACGGCGGGUGCAAGCGUUACUCGGAAUCACUGGGCGGAAAGAGUGCGUAGGCGGGGUAAUAAGUCAGAUGUGAAAUCCUGUAGCUUAACUAAAGAACUGAAUUUGAAACUGUUACUCUGGAGUGUGGGAGAGGUAGGUGGAAGUCUUGGUGUAGGGGUAAAAUCCGUAGAGAUCAAGAGGAAUACUCAUUGCGAAGGCGACCUGCUGGAACAUUACUGACGCUGAUGCACGAAAGCGUGGGGAGCAAACAGGAUUAGAUACCCGUGUAGUC